UAACAUGUAUGCUUGCUAUGUAAUCCUUAAAAGCUUUCCCUCGAGUGCUAGUGUAUACUGAAAAAGAUUCAGUUAAUGUAAUCUGUUUCAGUUAGUGCUGGUGAAGAAACUCGCUAGGGGAAAGAAAGAUCAAACAGCGGUCGGUGUGAUAGAUACCUCUGGUGUAGCCGUAGCAGGCGACAUUGGAGUGCUCGGCGGAUGAUCUUCUACCUCCGGCGAAGUCGGCACUUCUUUCUCCGACGAACUCGACGCUUCUUCCUGCGGCGAACUUGUUGGCGACAUGGGAUGCUUCGUCCAAAAUAGGAGCUGACGGAGAUUCAGGCCAAGGACCCUCCCUUCUUAUAACAGCCAACAGCAAUCUUGAUUUGAGUUGAACAAGGACACGGACUGUCCAUCCAAAUCGAGACGUGUUGGACACGGACUGGGAUGGAGGAGGCCGCGUGUGCAGGUAACGAGACCGCCGGGCGUUCGCGCCGCCGCAGGGAGUGCCUAUGGGUGGCACUGCACUGCCAAGGAACACCGCUGCCGUCGCGGUGGCCUUUCCUGCUCCCACGCCGCCCCAG
rnacentral:lncRNA from 1 species